CGUGAGAGGGAACUUGGCAGAACGCCAUUGUAAGCCAAACAAAUUUCUCGCUGAAAAAAAGCGAUAAAUUACUCAGUUUGCCUGAUUUGCAUAAAUGGUUCGGUCGCUUCGCGUGUUGCAUUAUGUCAUAAAGUACGUGUAAUAAAGGGUUAUUGUGAUUAAAGUGUGUGUAUUAUCUGUGUUCUAGUGUGUAAUUGCUGUGGAAACUGUACCAAAAUAGAUGAGUAUGGAGGCUGUGUAUCCUGCUGCAGCAUCAGCGCUUACACGCGGCAGGCGACGCAAACGCACCGAGCCACGACAGAGACAUCGCACUAUGCCUGUCACAUUUGCUGAAAUUAAGGAAGUCGAUGAGGACAAGGAGGACGAGCCGAUCCCAAUGACAGCUUCCAACAUAUCAAUCACAAGCGUUGAAGAACGACGUCGCAAACCGGAUCUCCUAGAUGAGACACUCGGAAGGCAGUUCACAGAAUUCCGC